rnacentral:rRNA from 1 species
CACGUAGGGCGCAAGCGUUGUCCGGAAUUAUUGGGCGUAAAGCGCGUGUAGGUGGCCAAGUAGGUCCGCUGUGAAAACUUGAGGCUCAACCUCAAGCUGUCGGUGGAAACCCCUUGGCUAGAGUCCGGAAGAGGAGAGUGGAAUUCCUGGUGUAGCGGUGAAAUGCGCAGAUAUCAGGAAGAACACCAAUGGCGAAGGCAGCUCUCUGGGACGGUACUGACACUGAGACGCGAAAGCGUGGGGAGCGAACAGG